AAAUGCUCUUAGGUUCUUAUAUGGAAAUGUUGCAAACCCUCCACCAGUGGGGAUUCUGAUUCAGUAAGGACAUCUUAUACCACUACAGCUCUUGGGGUUUCAGCUCUUGCCCAUGAUCACUUCAACUUUGAAACCACAUCCCAAGAAAUGAUUAUUUUUGUUUGUUCUCUUUGUUGAUCUUUUUGAGCUGAAAAAAGCUUAUCUGUUUGUUUAAAAUUGGAAACUGGUUUCUUCUAGGUCCCUGAAGAUCUCAGUGAGCAUGUUGUAUCAUCAAGGAAGGCUCAAGUUAAAUGGUAUGGGAAGCUAUUGCAAGCAUGGAAAGAAGCAAAACCCCCACCAAAAACACCUGAAGAGGUUGCUAGGCUUAUUGUUGAGACCUUGAGCAGACAUCAAAAGGCAGAUGUUAAGGUAUAAAAAAGGCCCAUAACAUCAAAAAGAUUAGUUAUGUACUGAUGUUAAUGGUAUUGCAGUGAUUUUUUUUUUUUGUGUUCUAAUGUACUACUGUGAUUCGAGAUUGUUAACCAUUGUGUAUCUGCAGGGUCAUACACAUUGUUUUUGAAA